rnacentral:rRNA from 1 species
AGAGUUUGAUCAUGGCUCAGGACGAACGCUGGCGGCGUGCUUAACACAUGCAAGUCGAACGGAGAUUUAGAAGAAGCUUGCUUUUUUUAAAUCUUAGUGGCAAACGGGUGAGUAACACGUAAACAACCUGCCUUCAGGAUGGGGACAACAGACGGAAACGACUGCUAAUACCGAAUAUCUUCCAAAUAUCGCAUGAUGAGUGGAAGAAAGGGUGGCCUCUAUAAAAAAGCUAUCGCCUGAAGAGGGGUUUGCGUCCGAUUAGGUAGUUGGUGUGGUAAUGGCUCACCAAGCCAAUGAUCGGUAGCCGGUCUGAGAGGAUGAACGGCCACACUGGAACUGAGACACGGUCCAGACUCCUACGGGAGGCAGCAGUGGGGAAUCUUCCGCAAUGGACGAAAGUCUGACGGAGCAACGCCGCGUGAGUGAAGACGGCCUUCGGGUUGUAAAGCUCUGUGAUUCGUGACGAAAGAGCCUUGGUAUAAUAUGCCGAGGAAGUGACGGUAGCGAAACAGCAAGCCACGGCUAACUACGUGCCAGCAGCCGCGGUAAUACGUAGGUGGCAAGCGUUGUCCGGAAUUAUUGGGCGUAAAGCGCGCGCAGGCGGUUUUUUAAGUCCAUCUUAAAAGUGCGGGGCUCAACCCCGUGAUGGGAUGGAAACUGGGAGACUGGAGUAGCGGAGAGGAAAGUGGAAUUCCUAGUGUAGCGGUGAAAUGCGUAGAGAUUAGGAAGAACACCGGUGGCGAAGGCGACUUUCCGGACGCCAACUGACGCUGAGGCGCGAAAGCGUGGGGAGCAAACAGGAUUAGAUACCCUGGUAGUCCACGCCGUAAACGAUGGAUACUAGGUGUAGGAGGUAUCGACCCCCUUCUGUGCCGGGAGUUAAACGCAAUAAGUAUCC